rnacentral:misc_RNA from 1 species
AAGUCGUAACAAGGUUUCCGUAGGUGAACCUGCGGAAGGAUCAUUAACACUUUUUAUUAUUUUGUUUUUUUUUCUAAAACAAAAUUUAAAACCCCACAAUUUUGGAUGAAUUUAAUUAAUUUAUUUUUUAUUUUAUUUUUUUUAUUAUAACCCUAUUAUUUUGACUAACAUUUUUAUUUAAUUAUUAAAAAAUUAAAAAAACAACUCUUAACAACGGAUAUCUUGGCUCUC